GACGAACGCUGGCGGCGUGCUUAACACAUGCAAGUCGAGCGGAGCGGCGAACGGGUGAGUAACGCGUGAGUAACUGCCCCCCUCCCUGGGAUAACAGUUGGCAACGGCUGCUAAUACCGGUUAGUGGGGGAUGACUCUCGUCCUAUCCGCUUGUUGGUGGGGUAGGGGCCUACCAAGGCGACGACGGGUUGCCGGCCUGAGAGGGGGACCGGCCACAUUGGGCUGAGAUACGGCCCAAACGCAUACGGGAGGCAGAAGUGGGGAAGAUUGCACAAGGGGGGAAACCCUGAUGCAGGAACGCCGCGUGCGGGAGGACGGCCUUCGGGUUGUAAACCGCUUUCAGCCAUGACGCGGUAGUGGCAGAAGAAGCACCGGCUAACUACGUGCCAGCAGCCGCGGUAAUUC
rnacentral:rRNA from 1 species